GAUGAACGCUAGCGGCAGGCUUAACACAUGCAAGUCGAGGGGCAGCAUGAGGGUUAGCAAUAACUCUUGAUGGCGACCGGCGCAAGGGUGCGUAACGCGUGAGCAACUUGCCCGUUUCUGGGGCAUAACCGGUGGAAACGCCGACUAAUUCCCCAUAGUAUUGAUUCCAGGCAUCUGUUGUCAAUUAAAGAAUUUCGGAAACGGAUAGGCUCGCGUGCUAUUAGCUAGUUGGCGGGGUAACGGCCCACCAAGGCGACGAUAGCUAUCCGGCCUGAGAGGGUGAACGGACACAUUGGGACUGAGAAACGGUCCAAACUCCUACGGGAGGCAGCAGUGGGGAAUAUUGCGCAAUGGGGGCAACCCGUGACGCAGCAACGCCGCGUGAAGGAAGAAGGUCUU
rnacentral:rRNA from 1 species